rnacentral:ncRNA from 1 species
UUAAUCUCGAUACAUCAUGGUGCCGCCCCUGAGGCGGAGAAUUGGGAAGCCGGUGAAAGACCGGCGCUGCCCCCGCAACGGUAAGGGAGGGCAUCACGGCAAUACGCCACUGAGCCGCGCAAGGGCUUGGGAAGGUGCCGUGCUGCAUGGGUUGAUCGCCCGCCACUCAAGCCCGGAAACCAGCCAUGGUAAACGUCGAAUC